CUCUCAAGGAUCAUGGGAGCUUGAGAACCGUGGGUAGACCAUGGCUGUGCAUAGGCACUGGGUGGCCAUCUGGGAGCUGUGGGGACCACUGGGCCCUUGUGGGAGCUUAGGAGUUGUGGGGGUCAUUUGGAAGCCUAGGGUGCACAGGACUGGACAUCAGAUGAUUGGAGGCCAUCUGUGGACGUCUGGGAAUCAGGGAUUUAUAGAGAUCUGGGGUGCUUGGGAAGCAUCUCUGGAUGUCUGGGGGAUGUGGGGGCUGUGUCUGGAUACUUGGGGAGCGUGGGGAUCAUUUGAGAGAGGUGACAGUAGGUAGCAUAUAUGUUUGCGGCAUUUCUCGCAACUGUACAAAGGUCUGGCCUAAGCAGGGUUCCCAAGCCAGAUAUUCCUCCCAAGAGUGUGUUCUGAGCAUCCCCCACCCUGGGGGCAGGCCUGUGUGGGAGUCCAGCAGGAAACUUCACCCUCGGCAGUGGGCAGCUGUGGUGCAGUAGAGGGGGCACGACUUCCCCAGGGCAUUGCCCUCUGUCCAUUCCUGCCCCAUCCUUUCCAAACUGUAUGUGUCUUUGUCCCAUCCUUCCAGGGAAGAGCUGAACCUGGCAGUGCUCCAUGCUUUUGUGGAUCUGCAUGAGUUCACCGACCUCAAUCUGGUGCAGGCCCUCAGGCAGUUUCUAUGGAGCUUUCGCCUACCCGGAGAGGCCCAGAAAAUUGACCGGAUGAUGGAGGCCUUCGCCCAGCGAUACUGCCUGUGCAACCCUGGGGUUUUCCA
rnacentral:sRNA from 1 species